AGGCAGGACAGCAGGGAGGGAUUUACAAGCUAGAGCAAGCUGCAGGUAGGAAGUGCGCCUGAUGUUUGUGAGGGUACGAGAGGACUACAGUGCACAAUACGUCAACUCCGUCAUUGCCAUUUCAUUAUCAGAAAUCAGCGUCUCCGAGUAUGAGGAGUCUGAUGGCGUCGGGGAAGAAAUGGCUACACAUUCUGGCCGUGAGGGCCCGAAUGCCUCGUACCUUUUUCCAGACAGCAGGAGGGUGAACAACGUGUGUGAAGGGGUCUUGCUGAUCCGUGUGUGUAUGACAUCAUUAACAACAUGGCCUCAAAAAAACAUCCCAAAACUGGUGCAGUAGUCCAUUGCUUGAAACGAGCCCGUUAAAGUGUGAGAUCUUGAUGGGCUCUGCAGCACCUGCCCCUAUGAACGAGCCACCGCUGCUAAACCGAAGAAUUAAACAGAGUUCGGCUACACCAACAUUCAACAGCUUUUCCCAAGCCGCAACUCGUAUUUCAUUUAAGCAUUUUUCUGCACUUUUUCCACCUCGAGUGUGCUUUAUUGGAAGUAUUGCAGUCAUCAGAUUAUUUUGGACAUUACUGUGGAACAAAUUUACUUGUGAAGGUCUCUGAGGUUGAUCUUGAACAAAUGAAGCGUAUAAAUUUUUUUUUUUUUUUUUUUUUUUUUUUAAAUCACAUUUUGCUGGCUUUUACUUGACAUGAAAAUCCUUUCCCUGUUCCAAAGUAACAGAAUUUUAGCGCCGGUUUCAUCAAAAUUCUAUUACGAUUAGAAAUACGAUGAGGUCAGAUGGAAAGGACAGUAGUUAAAAAUAAUUAACAUACAUAGAGAUAGAUGCUCUGUUUGCUUUGGAACAACUAUUUGGAAUCAGAUAGAGUAUCACCAUUAAAGGGCUUCCAGUGUCACCGUGUGGUAAAUAUUUACAGUGGGAUGGAAGGAACGUGGAUGUUAAACGGAGGCCCGAAGCUGAGCGAAAUGACGUGCCUUAUACGCACAGGCUGCUUGAGAUUUAACAUUCGGGGAGAGGUUAUUUUUACCCGUUAAUAAAAAUAAUAAACAGGCCCCAGCAUGUAGCUGGUGUCUCAAUAGCGAGCUGUUGUAUCCCAUCAGGCAUUGCUCCGUGUUUGGAAUGCUGAGAGCAGGAAGUGAUUGUGGUCGCUGUGGUUAUGGGAGAGUGAAGGCGAUAGCGCUGCAGAACAUGCCAUUCAGAUAUUUAUUUUUAUUAUGGAUUUUACCCAGAAUACCCUCUAAAUGAGAUCUUCAAAUUAUAGAUUGUGAUACAAAUGUUGCGUUUCAUCAUGUAUCGGUGUUUACAGUGUCCACACGGGCGAACAUUUCAUCAGCAAAGAAAUUUGGGAAGGAAGUUUGCCACAAAAAUUAUUUCAUGAAAAACUCCAGUAAUUAAUAAUAACUGAGGACAGAACUGUUAACCUUUAAAUCUGUGUCUCCGUCUCGCUC
ensembl:lncRNA